UGCGCGUUUGUGGUUUGGACCAGUGAUGACUAUACCAUUAGUUUCAAUAUUAUUAUGGAGAGAGUCAGAACUGGACUUUGGGUUGGGAUUUUUGAUUGGAGAAAGGCUAACUUUGAUGAGAUGCGAAAGGUUUUGAAAUGAGUGAAUUGGGACACUUUGUUUUAUGGGAAGGAUGUAGAAGAGAAAUGGAGUACAUUUAAAGGGGACAUUUUAAGAGUACAGAUUCUUUAUGUCCCUGUUCGGUUUAAAGGAAAUAGUAAAAAUUGAAAAGAGCCAUGGUUUUCAAGGAGAAUUGGCCACUUCGUUCGGAUAAAGAGACAGAUAUACAAUAAGUAUAGGCAGCAUGGAGUGAAUGAGGUGCUUGAGGAGUAAAUAAAGUGUGAAAAUAAUCUUAAAAUAGAAAUUAGAAAAGCUUAAAGAAGAUAUAAGGUUGCUUUGGCAAAUAAUGUGAAAGUAAAUCCAAAGGGUUUCUACAGCUAUAUUAAUAGCAAAAGGAUAACGAGGGAUAACAUUGGUCCAUUAGAGAGACAGAGUGGACAGCUAUCUGCAGAGCCAAAAGAGAUGGAGGAGAUAUUGAACCAUUUCUUUUCUUCUAUAUUCACCAAGGAGAACGAUAUUUAAUUAUGUGAGGUAAGGG